GACAGAGGGUGCAAACGUUGUUCGGAAUUACUGGGCGUAAAGCGUGCGUAGGUGGUCUGUUAAGUCUGAUGUGAAAGCCCUGGGCUCAACCUGGGGAAUUGCAUUGGAUACUGCCCGGCUAGAGGUAGGUAGGGGAGAUCGGAAUUCCUGGUGUAGCGGUGAAAUGCGCAGAUAUCAGGAGGAACACCGGUGGCGAAGGCGGCCUUCUGGACGGUGACUGACGCUGAGGCGCGAAAGCGUGGGGAGCAAACGGG
rnacentral:rRNA from 1 species